GAUGAACGCUGGCGGCGUGCCUAAUACAUGCAAGUCGAGCGAACAGACGAGGAGCUUGCUCCUCUGACGUUAGCGGCGGACGGGUGAGUAACACGUGGAUAACCUACCUAUAAGACUGGGAUAACUUCGGGAAACCGGAGCUAAUACCGGAUAAUAUAUUGAACCGCAUGGUUCAAUAGUGAAAGACGGUUUUGCUGUCACUUAUAGAUGGAUCCGCGCCGCAUUAGCUAGUUGGUAAGGUAACGGCUUACCAAGGCAACGAUGCGUAGCCGACCUGAGAGGGUGAUCGGCCACACUGGAGCUGAGACACGGUCCAGACUCCUACGGGAGGCAGCAGUAGGGAAUCUUCCGCAAUGGGCGAAAGCUUGCCGGAGCAACGCCGCGUGAGUGAUGAAGGUCUUCGGAUCGUAAAACUCUGUUAUUAGGGAAGAACAAAUGUGUAAGUAACUAUGCACGUCUUGACGGUACCUAAUCAGAAAGCCACGGCUAACUACGUG
rnacentral:rRNA from 1 species